AUUCUUAGGGAGGAUCUGGGGUCCAUUGCAGAAUUGGCCACUAGAGAUGGAUGGACAUGUUGUGCCAGAUACUGGCCCCUACCCCAGCUGCUCUGGUGGUGCAGAACAGCUAGAAACCUGUUUCAUCUACUUGCCUGAGAAUCCCACCUCCCUGGGGGAAUCUUCAGGUGGUGAAGAGAUGCAGUAGCAGCUCCUAUGCCAUCACCCUUCUGGAAUAAGAGGUAGUGCUGCCACUAUUAGAAGAAAAACCCCAAACAAACACAAUUAGCAGGACACAAAGGAAUCACACAGGGCAUGAUCUCACUGUAUUGGUUGCACAUCCCACUCUGCUAAAAGCUCUGCCUUUACUAAGAGCGACUGAUAAAUAAUCCAGAGGAUUUUUGGCUCAUUCUGUUAAGCAAUAAUGAUCCCACAGUGCCCAUGUAGUUUUAUCAAUUACUAAACCACAACCUUUUCAGUCGUAUAGUCUCUCGAGGUAAGGAACAUUUUUCAGUGUUUUGGCUUGUCUUAAAGUUUGUCUUUUCUCUUCACUUCCUUUUGAUUUUUAUAAUGACAAUCAGGUGAAUUAAAGACUUAUACUCCCAUCUUUUCAAUUUACCCCAAACAUAUUCAUCUCGCAUUCUGCUCCUGCUUCUGAUUGUUUGUUUCUUGACAUUUAGAUUUGAAUUUCAGUUUUAUUGUAUUUUAGUUUUUGCUGAUUGAUCUU